rnacentral:misc_RNA from 1 species
CGCGUCUAGCAGGCUUGUGCGUGUUGCAUUUCGAUCCUCCGGCGGCUUCUCCUUGGGAGGUGUCGGCGGAGCUUUCGGUGUAGCUCGUCUUGCGAUGGGACGACGCGUGAGUGGUGAUUAGGGUAUGUUUCCCGUGCAGGCUCCGUGUCUCCGGCAUCGAACUGCGUGGGUCUAUCUAUUUCACAGGUGGUUUCGCCUCGGCGUUUUAAUGGCCGGUUGCGACCGCUCGUUUGGUUCCUGUGCUCGAUAUCGAAUUCGGUAGUUGGAUGGAUUGUUCUUCCCCGUCAUGGUUUACUGAUCCCCCCACGCCUCGUGCGGCGGCGGCGGCGGAUAUUGUGCGGGCAUCGACGUUUCCCUCUCUAGCCGUUGUACCCCGUUUGGAGCUUCGGCUUGUGAUGGCACGUAAGAUGCUACCGACACUAUCGGGUACGGAGAUUUUUUGGCCACCGCAUCGGCCUUCGACCCUUGCGAACGUAAUGUAUCGAAGCUUUCUCGCUUCUGAAUGUACGACCCUCGUGCUCGUCUAAGAGCUCACGGAUACCCUUCGUUCGGUGUUCUUCUUGGGGAGCUAUCGAGGUCUACAAAGGAAUGCUACCUGGUUGAUC